rnacentral:rRNA from 1 species
UACGAAGGAUCCUAGCGUUGUCCGGAUUUACUGGGUUUAAAGGGAGCGUAGGUGGACUUUUAAGUCAGUGGUGAAAGCUUGCAGCUUAACUGUAAAAUUGCCAUUGAAACUGAAAGUCUCGAGUGCGGUUGAGGUCACUGGAAUGUAUCAUGUAGCGGUGAAAUGCUUAGAUAUGAUACAGAACACCAAUUGCGAAGGCAGGUGACUAAACCGUAACUGACACUGAGGCUCGAAAGCGUGGGGAUCGAAACAGG